GCACUUUUGAAAAAGCUGAGAUCUUUAUGUUGAAUACUUCCCAUUAGAUUUGACUAUCUUUUUGUGAAUAAAAAUUAUAUCGAACUUUCAAAAAUGAAAUGUGCCCGUGACAUCACUACCAUGGACAGUUAUUGCAGCACAAACAGUGCCUGUCUGUGUUAUGAUUUUGUCUCCAAAGAUUCCAGACUGGAUUCUUGGGUGCAGUGUUGAAAGAAAGAAAAUAGCCGUUGACAAUGAUUUCCCAAACAGAAUGCUUUCACUCUUUGGGAAGAUAAAGCCCUUUGACUCAGUUCCUGAGGUCAUGUACUAACAUGCCUUUGGUGUGCCUGUUGGUCCUAGGUGGAGUGGGGAACACAGACCUGGUUCCUGUCUUCAAGCAACUCAGGAUCUAAUCUGCAGACAAGACAUGGAUCCAUCCAAAAGCAACGCACGACGAUGUUGUGGAGGCCGGUGGGAGUGAGAAGACCGAGGAGGAGGCCCAGGCUGUGACCAAGGAGGAGGAGGCGGGCCCGGCCCCUGAGAAGGGGGCAGAGGAGGCCGCAGCCGUUGGCGAGGCAGAGGAGGAGGCGGGCCCAGGCAGUGACAAUGACAAGACGUCCCCAGCCAGGGCUGGGGCUGAGCAGGAAGAUGAAUCUGCCCCCAAGGUGGACGGGACGGACGGUGAAAGCUCGUGGAGCACUGUGAGUCUGUGUGGCAGCGUCCACGAUGAAGAUGACACAGACUCGGUGGUGGAGAGCAGCAACAGCCACCAGGACGAGGAGGCUGCAGAAUCUUGCUUUGGGAGGAAAGGAUCUUGCUUCAGGAGCCUGAGGAUAAGUUUGUCCUCUGCGAGCUUGGCUAGACUAAUCCCCUGGUGGCCGCACAACAGGGUGCACCCAGCCACUGAGCCAGAUGAAGGUACUGUGGAACCUGACUCAGUACACUCAGGCAUGAACGAUGAUUCUGGUUCAUUCAGUGCUCCAGAUUUCAGAACAAACUCUACAGGUGCUAAGCCGUAUCUCUCUUCUAGUGCAUGGUGCAAAUUCAAAUGAACUAACUCGGAGUUCCGGUCGUGGCGCAGUGGUUAAAGACUCCGACUAGGAACCAUGAGGUUGCGAGUUGGAUCUCUGGCCUUGCUCAGUGGGUUAAGGAUCCGGGGUUGCCGUGAGCUGUGGUGUUGGCCACAGAUGCGGUUCGAAUCCCGAGUUGCAGUGGCUGUGGCGUAGGCCAGUGGCUACAACUCUGAUUAGACCCCUCUCCUGGGCGCCUGCGCAUGCCAAGGGAAGCGGGCCUAGAAAAGGCAAAAUGACCAAAACCCAACCAACCAACCAAAACCCAAAUUGAAUCACUCCCUGGGCACUUUCACAACCAUGAAAAUAAUGGUUCGUUUAAACUCAACAUUUGGUUCCUGGUUAAUAGCAGAGAUGCCCUCACUCAUGUU
rnacentral:lncRNA from 1 species